rnacentral:rRNA from 1 species
UGCAAGUCGAGCGCGAAAGUUUCCUUCGGGAAGCGAGUAGAGUGGCGCACGGGUGAGUAACACGUAAGUAAUCUACCUCGGGGUGGGGAAUAGCAUCGGGAAACCGAUGCUAAUACCGCAUAAUGCAGCGGCUUCUUAUGAAGACAGUUGUUAAAGCAUUUAUGUGCCUGGAGAGGAGCUUGCGGCAGAUUAGCUAGUUGGUAAGGUAAUGGCUUACCAAGGCAACGAUCUGUAGCCGACCUGAGAGGGUGGUCGGUCACACUGACACUGAAUAACGGGUCAGACUCCUACGGGAGGCAGCAGUCGGGAAUUUUGGGCAAUGGGCGAAAGCCUGACCCAGCAACGCCGCGUGAAGGAUGAAGUAUUUCGGUAUGUAAACUUCGUAAAAAUAGGAAGAAUAAAUGACGGUACUAUUUGUAAGGUCCGGCUAACUACGUGCCAGCAGCCGCGGUAAUACGUAGGGACCAAGCGUUGUUCGGAUUUACUGGGCGUAAAGGGCGCGUAGGCGGCGUGACAAGUCACUUGUGAAAUCUCCGGGCUUAACUCGGAACGGUCAAGUGAUACUGUUGUGCUAGAGUACAGAAAGGGUAAUCGGAAUUCUUGGUGUAGCGGUGAAAUGCGUAGAUAUCAAGAGGAACACCAGAGGCGAAGGCGGAUUACUAGGCUGAUACUGACGCUGAGGCGCGAAAGCUAGGGUAGCAAACGGGAUUAGAUACCCCGGUAGUCCUAGCCCUAAACGAUGAAUACUUGGUGUCUGGAGUUUAAUUCUCUGGGUGCCGUCGCUAACGUUUUUAGUAUUCCGCCUGGGGAGUACGCACGCAAGUGUGAAACUCAAAGGAAUUGACGGGGACCCGCACAAGCGGUGGAGCAUGUGGUUUAAUUCGACGCAACGCGAAGAACCUUACCUGGACUAGAAUGGGAGGGAAGUU